GACGAACCGUGCGAACGUUGUUCGGAAUCACUGGGCUUAAAGGGCGCGUAGGCGGCUUGCCAAGUCCGGGGUGAAAGCCUCCAGCUUAACUGGAGAAGUGCCUUGGAUACUGGCGAGCUCGAGCGAGGUAGGGGCAGAUGGAACUUCCGGUGGAGCGGUGAAAUGCGUUGAUAUCGGAAGGAACGCCGGUGGCGAAAGCGAUCUGCUGGACCUCUUCUGACGCUGAGGCGCGAAAGCUAGGGUAGCGAACGGG
rnacentral:rRNA from 1 species